rnacentral:rRNA from 1 species
CCUCGCGAAUGCCCUACCGGUUNAAAGAGGUGAUCCAGCCACAGAGUNCCCUCGUCAGUUACUACCUUGAUAACGACUUNCACACCCCAAUACACCGACCAUAACCUAUAGAGCAGACCUCUCUCCCUUGCGGGUCUAAUGCUAGGCAGACUAUCUAGUACAACACAGGACUAUAUCGUGAUAGUAGACGGAGCGGAUAGUAGUAACAAAGGCCCCGGGAACCGUAAUANACACCCAGCGAGACGAUAGCCUGGAAUCACGCAGANAAUAACAUAGACCGAAUUACACAAACCUAUACAGCGCCAAGGGCCGAAAGAUAUGGCAAAGCACAUAAACGAAUACCANAACAUNGGAAGAAACACGGGGGACCUAAAAUCUGACCACCGGGAAACUACUAAGAAGNANCAGAUUGACGCCACAAAGCACCAGUUUAAAAACCCAGGAGGNAAGUAAAAAUACACAGACCAAGGAAAAGACACGGGAGGGGAAAUCACAAGGGGGAAAAACACACCANGAAGGGAACACACCCAAAAUGAAUGAGGACUUACAAAGAGAGCCCGAACGCCAAGGAAUAUAGGGUNAGGGUUUAAAAAGAGNACCCCCGANAANCCAAAAGAGAAAAAACAACAUUAAAAAUCANCAAAGGAAGGCCCAACCCAAAUGAGAGGGAGACCCAUUAGAGGAGAAANCCCAUAAAUAAAGCAAAACACAAGAAU